GACGAACGCUGGCGGCGUGCCUAAUACAUGCAAGUCGAGCGAACCGGCGGAUGGGUGAGUAACGCGUGGGUAACCUGGCCCUAAGUCUGGGAUACCAUUUGGAAACGGAAGCUAAUAACGGCUACUAAUGGAUGGACCUGCGGUGCAUUAGCUAGUUGGUAAGGUAACGGCUUACCAAGGCGAUGAUGCAUAGCCGGGCUGAGAGGCUGAUCGGCCACACUGGGACUGAGACACGGCCCAGACUCCUACGGGAGGCAGCAGUAGGGAAUCUUCGACAAGGGACGAAAGUCUGAUGGAGCAACGCCGCGUGAGUGAAGAAGGUUUUCGGAUCGUAAAGCUCUGUUGUUGGUGAAGCGGUAAUCAACCAGAAAGCAACGGCUAACUACGUGCCAGCAGCCGCGGUAAUUC
rnacentral:rRNA from 1 species